rnacentral:rRNA from 1 species
GGAUUCGGCAAUAGAGCAAUGAAAGUUUCGCAUCCCGUACGCACUGCGGUAAAGAAGCAUUGAAUCGCCUGGUUAGUAUAACUGUGGGUGACAGCGUGAGAAUCCCUGGUGCUGAAUUCC